CCGGCCCCUAGAAUCACAUGUCAACCUGCCCCCCCGAUUGCCUACCCUGCAGUCCCCACCAUCCCCAAUUUGGCAGCAGCAUCCCAGAACUGCUCUUUUUCAGAGCUCCUGUCAAAUUGGGAGCCUAUCAAUUCAACAUUGGUGCCAGGCCCACCCCAGCAAUCAGCAGAACCAGCCAUACUGAGGGAGGUCCUGACCAAGUUAGAGAUGGUGCUGGACCAACAAAGCCAAAUUCUUCGGCUUCUCCAGCACCGAGAGGUGCAGGUCCAGCCAGGCAACAUUGAGGAAGGUCUAC